GAACCUGCGGGCGGCCUUACACAUGCAAGUCGAGCGGUAGCACAAGAGAGCUUGCUCUCUGGGUGACGAGCGGCGGACGGGUGAGUAAUGUCUGGGAAACUGCCUGAUGGCGGGGGAUAACUAGUGGAAACGGUAGCUAAUACCGCAUAACGUCGCAAGACCAAAGUGGGGGACCUUCGGGCCUCACGCCAUCAGAUGUGCCCAGGUGGGAUUAGCUGGUAGGUGGGGUAACGGCUCACCUAGGCGACGAUCCCUAGCUGGUCUGAGAGGAUGACCAGCCACACUGGAACUGAGACACGGUCCAGACUCCUACGGGAGGCAGCAGUGGGGAAUAUUGCACAAUGGGCGCAAGCCUGAUGCAGCCAUGCCGCGUGUGUGAAGAAGGCCUUCGGGUUGUAAAGCACUUUCAGCGAGGAGGAAGGGUAAUGUGUUAAUAAGACAUUGCAAA
rnacentral:rRNA from 1 species